GGCGUCGUCGUCGUCGUCGUCGUCGUCCGGCGUCCGAAUACUUUUAGUUUUCGCACUCUAACUUUAGUAAAAGUGAAUAGAAAUCUAUGAAAUUUUAACACAAGGUUUAUGACCAUAAAAGGAAGGUUGGUAUUGAUUUUGGGAGUUUUGGUCCCAACAUUUUAGGAAUAAGGGGCCAAAAAGGGCCCAAAUAAGCAUUUUCUUGGUUUUCGCACCAUAACUUUAGUUUAAGUUAAUAGAAAUCUAUGAAAUUUUGACACAAGGUUUAUGACCACAAAAGAAAGAUUGGGAUUGAUUUUGGGAGUUUUGGUUUCAAUAGUUUAGGAAUAAGGGGCCAAUAAAGGGCCCAAAUAAGCAUUUUUCUUGGUUUUUGCACAAUAACCUUAGGUUAAGUAAAUAGAAAUCUAUGAAAUUUAAACACAAUGUUUAUGACCACAAAAGGAAGGUUGGUAUUGAUUUUGGGAGUUUAGGACCCAACAGUUUAGGAAUUAGGGGCCAAAAAGGGACCCAAAUAAGCAUUUUUCUUGGUUUUCGCACUAUAAUGUUAGUAUAAGUAAAUACAAAUCUAUGAAAUUUAAACACAAGGCUUAUGACCAUAAAAGGAAGGUUGGUAUUGAUUUUGGGAGUUUUGGUCCCAACAGUUUAGGAAAAAG
rnacentral:lncRNA from 1 species